rnacentral:rRNA from 1 species
UACGAAGGGAGCUAGCGUUGUUCGGAAUCACUGGGCGUAAAGCGCACGUAGGCGGAUGUGUCAGUCAGGGUGAAAUCCCGGAGCUCAACUUCGGAACUGCCUUUGAUACAGCACGUCUUGAGUCCGGGAGAGGUGAGUGGAACUGCGAGUGUAGAGGUGAAAUUCGUAGAUAUUCGCAAGAACACCAGUGGCGAAGGCGGCUCACUGGCCCGAUACUGACGCUGAGGCACGAAAGCGUGGGAGCAACAGGG